GGAGGGUACAGCUCAGCGGUAGAGCGUGUGCUUGGUAUGCAGGGGGUCUUGGGUUCAAUCCCCAGUCCCUCCA
rnacentral:tRNA from 1 species